UUUGCAUCUGACCUCAAAUCAGGUAGGACUACCCGC
rnacentral:rRNA from 1 species